CUUCCCAUAUGGUCCCUCACCUCUGACUCCUAUUCUUAUACCUGUGCCUGUUAGUGCCCACACAAUGGAAGACACACUUAACACUAGUGAGCUUCAGGCCAUGAUCAACGCGGCGGUGGCUGCGUCUUUAGAAAAGGCGUUAUCAAAGGCAACACCUGCAACCACUGAAUCUACCACGUUGGCUAGUAAGCAACGCCAGAACAAUGAGGACUCAGACGAGUCG